UCUCAGUGGUUGAGCGCCUGCUGGCCCAGGUGUGCGGGGCGUUGGAGGCCGCGGAGCAGAAAGCACACAGAAGUAAUUCUGAUCCCAAAGGAUGACGCCGUUGCGAUGAUCGCUCCCCGCAGUAAGACGGGCAAAGCGAGUGGAGGAUUGACCAAAAAUGCAUGGUUUCAUAUUUGCAGCUGCGAAUUUGCAUCUACCCGUAACUCGGGCUCAAGCACACGUGGCACUUCUACACCCAUGAGCUACGCUGCAUCUGCGUUUUCACUGAGCAGAGAGGGGCUUUCAUCUUCAACCCAGCGAGCACCAAAACGGCCCUGCUAAGCAGCAGGUCACUCUCAAAUGGUGCUCCACGUCCUCUGUAACUCUGUGCUUCCAAAGGCUCUUCUUGAGAAGAUGUCUGUGAAAACCACCAUUCCUACUGCAACUUAGUGACAAGGCAAGUGUGCCACUCACAAACCGCAACGGAAACAUCGCCCACACACUUGACAACAGAGUUAAGCACUUCUAGGUUGAACACUAAGAAAAGUUGUAAUAGUGCCAAUGUUGUAUCCAGUUCCAGUAAAAACGGCAGGACCCACAGUCGUAUUAGCGAAAUGUGUCACACAGGAGCACUUCUAUAAAGGAGAGAAUUGUUUUCAGGAUCUACAAAUCUUUCUCAUUACAAACAUACGUAGUGACUCA